UGCAAGUCGAGCGGGGAAUGGUAGCUUGCUACCUGACCUAGCGGCGGACGGGUGAGUAAUGCUUAGGAAUCUGCCUAUUAGUGGGGGACAACAUUCCGAAAGGAAUGCUAAUACCGCAUACGCCCUACGGGGGAAAGCAGGGGAUCUUCGGACCUUGCGCUAAUAGAUGAGCCUAAGUCAGAUUAGCUAGUUGGUGGGGCAAAGGCCUACCAAGGCGACGAUCUGUAGCGGGUCUGAGAGGAUGAUCCGCCACACUGGGACUGAGACACGGCCCAGACUCCUACGGGAGGCAGCAGUGGGGAAUAUUGGACAAUGGGCGCAAGCCUGAUCCAGCCAUGCCGCGUGUGUGAAGAAGGCCUUUUGGUUGUAAAGCACUUUAAGCGAGGAGGAGGCUACUGAGAUUAAUACUCUUGGAUAGUGGACGUUACUCGCAGAAUAAGCACCGGCUAACUCUGUGCCAGCAGCCGCGGUAAUACAGAGGGUGCGAGCGUUAAUCGGAUUUACUGGGCGUAAAGCGUGCGUAGGCGGCUUUUUAAGUCGGAUGUGAAAUCCCUGAGCUUAACUUAGGAAUUGCAUUCGAUACUGGGAAGCUAGAGUAUGGGAGAGGAUGGUAGAAUUCCAGGUGUAGCGGUGAAAUGCGUAGAGAUCUGGAGGAAUACCGAUGGCGAAGGCAGCCAUCUGGCCUAAUACUGACGCUGAGGUACGAAAGCAUGGGGAGCAAACAGGAUUAGAUACCCUGGUAGUCCAUGCCGUANACGAUGUCUACUAGCCGUUGGGGCCUUUGAGGUUUUAGUGGCGCAGCUAACGCGAUAAGUAGACCGCCUGGGGAGUGCGGUCGCAAGACUAAAACUCAAAUGAAUUGACGGGGGCCCGCACAAGCGGUGGAGCAUGUGGUUUAAUUUCGAUGCACGCGAAGAACCUUACCUGGU
rnacentral:rRNA from 1 species